rnacentral:rRNA from 1 species
UUAUCACUCAGUGGGAAACAAGGUGAGAUUUCUUAAACAGCUAGGAUGUUGGCUUAGAAGCAGCCAUUCAUUUAAAGAGUGCGUAACAGCUCACUGGUCAAGCGACUUUGCACCGAAAAUUUCAGGGGCUUAAACUUGUUACCGAAGCUGCGGAUUGUCCUCGUUUACGAGGAUAGUGGUAGGGGAGCGUUCUAUAGUAGGUUGAAGGAGAAUUGAAAAACUCUCUGGACAAAUUAGAAGUGAUCAUGCCGGCAUGAGUAGCGAUAAAACAAGUGAGAAGCUUGUUCGCCGUAAGCCUAAGGUUUCCUGUGGAAGGCAAGUCCACACAGGGUUAGUCGCGUCCUAAGUCGAGGCUGAAGAGCGUAGACGAUGGGCAACAGGUUAAUAUUCCUGUACCACCACCAGGCGAUUGAAUCUAGGAGAGACGCAAACAUUAGAAUCUACUAGCGGAUGGAAGUGCUAGGUCAAGCGGACGGAGGUUCCGGUUAAUCCCGGAAAUUACCUCUGAAAGUGAUGAGGUGUCCUUAAGGACUGAACUGGUUCGGUUGUUUGCCAAGAAAAGAACUCCGAGAGGACAAAUGGUGGUGUGCGUACCGCAAACCGACACAGGUAGGCAAGGAGAAUAUCCUAAGGCGCUCGAGAGAACUCUCGCUAAGGAACUCGGCAAAAUGGCUCCGUAACUUCGGGAGAAGGAGCGCUUGAGUUGGCUGGUUCGCCAGUCUAGCGAAAGCCGCAGUGAAAAGGCCCAUACGACUGUUUACUAAAAACACAGGUCUGUGCUAAAUCGUAAGAUGAUGUAUACGGACUGACGCCUGCCCGGUGCUGAAAAGUUAAGGAGAGGGGUUAGAGCUUAGGCUCGAAGCUCUGAACCGAAGCUUCAGUAAACGGCGGCGGUAACUAUAACCGUCCUAAGGUAGCGAAAUUCCUCGUCGGGUAAAAUCCGACCUGCACGAAUGGCGUAACGAUAUGGGCACUGUCUCAGCGAGAGACUCGGUGAAAUUGUAUUAUCGGUGAAGAUGCCGAUUACCCGUAAAAAGACGGAAAGACCCCGUGAACCUUUACUAUAGCUUGAUAUUGAAUUUGGAUUUAGCUUGUGUAGGAUAGGUGGGAGACUUUGAAGCUGGAGCGCUAGCCCCAGUGGAGUCGCCCUUGAAAUACCACUCUUGUUGUAUCUAAAUCCUAACUCUGGUUUGUAUAUCCAAGCCGAGGACAGUGUCAGGUGGGUAGUUUGACUGGGGCGGUCGCCUCCUAAAGCGUAACGGAGG